rnacentral:rRNA from 1 species
ACCCACAGCCAUGUCACCCUGCAGCCCAAGACCGGUUACUCACUGAAGCUAAGCAGGGCUGAGCCUGGUUAGUACCUGGAUGGGAGACCACUAGGGAACACUAGGUUGCUGUUGGAA